rnacentral:rRNA from 1 species
UACGAAGGGGGCUAGCGUUGUUCGGAUUUACUGGGCGUAAAGCGCACGUAGGCGGAUCGUUAAGUCGGGGGUGAAAUCCUGGAGCUCAACUCCAGAACUGCCUUCGAUACUGGCGAUCUUGAGUCCGGAAGAGGCGAGUGGAAUUCCUGGUGUAGCGGUGAAAUGCGCAGAUAUCAGGAGGAACACCGAUGGCGAAGGCAGCUCGCUGGGACGGUACUGACGCUGAGGCGCGAAAGCGUGGGGAGCAAACAGG